GUGCGACUCUGUGCUCUAAGAGCCUGGAGGAAGUUGCCAUCUGGGGGAGACACAGUUUCUAUACAGGGUUUAAGGCAGAAAGCUAUUGAGGACUUGCCGCAGUUUAUUGACAGAGUAAACAAGGUGGUAGAAGAGAAGAUGUCUAAUGAAGGAACUAGGGCAGCAUCUGGGACUAAAUAAGGAACAGACAGCAGCAGUGGUGGCAGUAAGCAAUGGCACACCAGAUGACUGGAUUUCAGCCACCCAGGAUACAGGGGCACAAGCAGCUCAACGCUCACUGCUGGCCUCAGCCAUGGCAGUUGCAUAGAGGCAGGACUAAGGAGGCUUGCAGACAGCUAUUCAGAGACUGCAAAAAAUAUGCACCUUUUCUCCCCAUUGGCCCUUUCAACCUACUGGAGUGAAUCCCCAAGAGUUAAAAUCUAAUGCUUUAUCACAAAUGGAUGCUAUUCAUUAUGCUCUUUUUGGAAAUUUAACAUAUAUUCAUGUAAUUAUUGAUAUCUGUUCAGGCUGUAUAAUGGCCAUAGCCUCCACAGGAGAAACCACAAAAAAGGUUAUCUCCCAUCUACUUAAAUGUUUUGGAAUUAUGGAUGUUCUCAUGUGAAUUGAAACUGACAAUGGGCCAGCCUAUACUAGAAAGACAUUACAAGAGGUCUGCAAUGAUUGGCAUAUAUGGCACUUAACUAGGAUCCCCUACAACACUUACACUCAAGGCAUCAUAGAAAGAACACACAAAGAAUUUAAAGAUUAUGCUACAAAACAGAGGGGGGGGGGACUAUACCAAGUCCCUCAUGAUGCCUUGAAAAGAAUCUUAUUUACUUUAAAUUUUCUUUCAAUUUCAAACUUUCUACAAAAAUAGCAGCCAAUAAGAAUUGGGUCCCCCUCACAGGACCCUCCCAUCUACCUAUGAUAUCAUGGAAGGAUUCCAUAACAAAUGCAUGGGAUGGUCUGGAGUCCCUCCUAAACAUGGAUGAAGCAUUUACAUAUGUUAACAGGAGCCUCACCCCAUCUGGGUGCCUGCCAGAAAUGUCAAGCCCUGGACACCAAGAACCACCAACCAUACCAACCAAGAAGAUGAAGGAACAAACUCUGGAAGAAAAACCUCACAAACAAAGAGCUCAACAAUGUAAACGGACCUCAUGUAAAGUAACCUGGAGAGAUAUUAAAGGUCUUGUGGAACAAGCCAUCAGAUUGGCCCCUUUGCCCGGUGGCAAUAGGGCCUAUGAUGAUGGUCCUAUUGUGUGCAGCACUCACUGCUAACAGUGAAGUCUCCCAUCAGGUAAACUGAGUUGUGGUCACUAAGUCACCAUCUUCAGCAGUUGCUAAUUGGGAAGAAAUUUACCUGAGCUAUUCUCUAAUAAUUCCAAAUGUAUUGAUCCUGAGUUAUCCAUUCAGGAGAUGUCAAUAACCUGGAAUGCCAGCAUUUUCAUUCCCACUCUGCCUAUUUCUUUUUCUGUAGUGGAUAGUGAAACCUAUGAUCCAGACACUCCCCUCGGUUUUGUACUUGCCAAUGAAACUAUUGUAAAUGACUAUAAUAAGGCAUAUGUUGGGCUAUCUAUCAAUGACCAUAAAGUUAUAGUUAAUGCUACCUAUAGCCAUAGACCCCCCAUGGCAAAUGCGACAAACCCUUGGUGCCAACAUGCUCAACAAUGCUUUUUGGGAAGCUCCUCUCAGAUAAUGAUAGCAUCCCAUGUAAUCAAUGUGUCACUGCCAUACCUUAUCUGCUUGAUAAGAGACAUUUCUCUGGGAAGAACAAUAACUAUGUGCCUGGGCAGGCACAGCUUCCUGGAAUGUAACUGAUGUGCCCAAGAACAAUAUGGGCUACUGUAGUGCAUGCUACAUGGGACAAGCCAUUACCAACCUUUUUGCAGGAAAUCAGUAUGGCAUGAUAGCUAUCAUGCCAAUAUUGCUAGCUGCUAGACCCAACAAAUGGGCAGCAGCCAGUUGAGUCCAGACCCUGACCAUGGAUUUGCCUUUGUGCCAAAUUAUACCCAUACUGACUAUGCACAAGCUUGUGUUACACCACCAUUUGCCAGGCUAAUAAUCAAUGAUACUGAUGGCAUAAAUAUCUCUCAUACAGAGAUCCUACAGUCAAUACAUCCUGCUGGCUCACAAGUUGUUUAAACCCUGCUAUGAAAGCUAAAUGUAUAUUUAUCCCUAGAGUGCUCCCAGCAGUCUGCUUCCAGUGAAUCUGUCCAGUAAGUGCAGGAGUCCAUGGGACACAGAGAUGAAGAAUCCUCUGAAUGAGAUUCAACACCAGACAAGGCAUGUGAUUAGCCUCAUCAUCGCUGGAAUUUUUGCCCUGGUAGCCACCAUCGCCACCACAGCCACUGCCGCUGCUUCACUCACUCAUAGUAUCAAGACUACUCAGACUGUAAACAACUUUGUUACUGCCAUGGCAUAAGCCUUUGCCAUUCAAAAUGACUUAAAUAAACUGUCCCAAGCUGUUAUUUCAGUCAUUCAAUAAGAGCUAGACCUCCACCAGGAACAACUAGAUACUCUGUUUAUGUUAUAAAGGCUCAGUUGUGACUCUAAAUUUCAUAGUAUUUGUGUCACCUAAUAUGCUGUAUCUGAAAACAGAACCUUACACUUCUCCAAUUUUUCUCAAUAUAUUAAGGGCACUUGGGAUGCAAACUAUGUUAUGACUAUG
rnacentral:lncRNA from 1 species